rnacentral:lncRNA from 1 species
CUUGACUUUACCCACUUGUGCCCAGUCCCUUGGAAGUGAUCGCAUGGUACGUCUGUGGUGUGUGCAUUCAAGGCAAAGGAGGGACUAAGCUUGGACUGUCUGGGCAGAACCUGCCAGCUGAUCCUCCCAAAGUUUGUCCAGAAGUAGUGAUGUCAACUUAUUGAGGAUCUUUUAUAUAUAUAUGAAAGAUCCUCAGUAAGUUGUUAUAUAUAUAUAUAUAUAUAUAUAUAUAUAUAUAUAUAUAUAUAUAUAUAUAAGAUCCUCAGUAAGUUAUAUAUAUAAGUUUUAUAUAUAUAUAUAGUUUGUUUGUUUUAGUUGUAGAUGAACACAAUAUCUUUAUUUUAUUUAUGUAUUUUUUAUGUGGUGCUGAGAACCCAGUGUUUCACACAUGCUAGGCAAGUGCUCUACCACUGAGCCACAACCCCAGCCCCUUACUGAGGAUCUUUCUGAAGGGUGAGGAACCAUGAAAAGAAUUCUUGCAAAAUGAAAGUGUAAAUGUCAUCAUUUUAUCCCUUCUCUUGAUAAACAGUUUGAGACUCAAAGUCAUAUUUCAAUUUCUUUCAUAUCCCUCACUUAGUAACUCAUAAAAGUUAUACCAAUAACUUUUUAAAUAACUUAAUAAAUUACAAACUAAAUUUGUACGAGGCUGUCAGAAAAAUGCUUAUAAUAGCAAAAUACUGAAAAAACACUUAAAUUCCAUUAAGAAGAAACUGGUUAAAAUGGAAUAUCUAUACAAUGGAGGAUUAUGCAGCUACAAAAAUGAAUAAAUAUACCUACAUAUUGCAAUGGAGUGAUCCCACAAACAUAAUGUGAAAAAAACAGGUGCCAAAUAAUCUUUUACUAUGUCACCUUUUAUCUAAGAAUAGGAAAGAAUACAUAAUUGUAAGUAUUUACUUGUAUAUUUUAAGAAAGUAACAACAGGAUAAAGCAAAGCUAAAGAAACUAGUGCAAUAAUUGAUUGCAUGUUGAAAUACUAGCAUUUUUAUAUACUAUAUUGAGUUAAAUGUGCUAUUAAAACUAAUUUCAUCCAUUUAUUUUACUUUUUGAAUACAGCAACCAUUAAAACACUUGAAUUCUAUAUGUGGACUCAUAUUUCCUAGAUGGCAUUACUUAGGAGACUGAACUCCAUAUCACCAUACAUACCUGCCAUACCAACAAAAAGGACUUCGAAUCUCAGAAAGAAAAUGCUGGUUAUAAGAAUCACUAAGACGAUUUGAAACAAAAAUCUGACAUUCAAACAAGUUAUUUACACUCCUAGACCUACUUAGAUCCCAAGUUAGGUACAUAGGGUCACAAUGCUUCAAGAAUAGGAAUCAAGAAGUCAGGAAUGUGAAAACCAGAAACAGUUGAAGAGGAAAAUGCCUUUUCUCUAGAAUUUAAGACAAAUGUGUCAUGGGAUAGACUUAACAGUGGAGCUUCCAACCUGCAGAGCAAUGUGUGUCUGUCAAAAAAUGGAACACCCACUGAGACCUUCUAGGCCAAAGGCUUUGUGUAUAGAUGCAAACCUGGGUUCUGCCCAUUGACCACCCUUGGGAUAUCAUCUGAGGGACCUCCUUUCUCCUUGUAAUGUUGAAAAGUUUAAUCAUGAACAGUAUUGGGAGGUUUCGUCAUUACUAAUAUUAAAGGUGGAG